UAUGUCCAUAUCAUGUUGAAACACUUGUUCCCAUACAAUCACUGAGGUUAAGCUACAUUGAGCCUGGUUACUACCUAGAUUGAUGACCACUUGGGGAUACCAGGUGUUGUAAG